rnacentral:rRNA from 1 species
GUCGUGCGAGAAAGCACCUUCGGGUGUGAGUACAGCGGCGCACGGGUGAGUAACGCGUGGGCAACCUGCCUUUCGGGUCUGGGACAACCUCGGGAAACUGGGGCUAAUACCGGAUGAGACCACGAGCUCUUCGGAGCUUGCGGAAAAAGAUGGCCUCUCCUUGGAAGCUAUCGCCUGGAGAUGGGGCCCGCGUCCCAUUAGCUUGUUGGUGAGGUAACGGCUCACCAAGGCCACGAUGGGUAGCUGGUCUGAGAGGACGAUCAGCCACACUGGAACUGAGACACGGUCCAGACUCCUACGGGAGGCAGCAGUCGGGAAUUUUGGGCAAAUGGGGGGAAACCCCUGACCCAGCAACGCCGCGUGAGGGGAUGAAGGCCUUCGGGUUCGUAAACCUUCUGUCAGGAGGGAAGAAGGCUCCCAGUGAAAAUAUUGCUGGGGGGAUUGACGGUACCUCCAAAAGGAAGCGCCGGCUAACUCCGUGCCAGCAGCCGCGGUAAUACGGAGGGCGCAAGCGUUGUUUCGGAAUCAUUGGGCGUAAAGCGCGUGUAGGCCGUUCGGUAAGUCGGAUGUGAAAUCCCAGGGCCCAACCCUGGAACUGCAUUCGAUACUGCCGGACUCGAGUCCCGGAGGGGAGAGCGGAAUUCCCGGUGUAGAGGUGAAAUUCGUAGAUAUCGGGAGGAACACCAGUGGCGAAGGCGGCUCUCUGGACGGUGACUGACGCUGAGACGCGAAAGCGUGGGGAGCAAACAGGAUUAGAUACCCUGGUAGUCCACGCCGUAAAC